AUACAUACCUGGCAGGGGGGAUACCAUGAUCACAAAGGUGGUUUUCCCAGGGCAAGGCAGCUUUCCAGAUGUGCUGACCCCUGCCAUUUCCCCAAAUGUGGGAAAUUCAACUGCAUACUUUGUGGUAGUUGGGAACUGUGUUCACACUCUUUCCUA